UAUCUCGAAUACCCAAGCGCGAUCCUCCACCCCCUGCCGCUGCCCGGGUACCGCUCCCGCCCCGCACCCAGACGGACGGACAGACACACGGCUCAGCAUGUCCGACAGCCCCAGCCCGGGAGAGGCCCCCAAAGGGGGGGCCCCCGAUGAACCCGAGGGGCAGCCCCCCUGCGCCGAGCUCAAAACAGCUAUGGAGAAAUGCGUAAGUGAGAACGGGGAGGAGUCGUGCAAGGAGCUGAUGGAAUCGUACCACGAGUGUCUCCGUGCUCUGGGCAUCAAGGUCUAGCAGCCCCCCCACCACGGCGCUGGCGUGGCCAAUGGGCGCAGCGUCACCCGGGGGAGCCCGGCAGCGAGGGCGAAGCGCCGCCGAGCAACGCCAGCGGCCGUGGAGGGGGCAGCUGCUCCGGAUUCAGGGGGGAUGGGGGGCAGUGUAAUAAACUGGCAGCG